GUUUUUGUCAAGUUUUAUUGGAACCCACCCAAUAGAAACAAAUGCCUGUUGUCUCUGGCUGCUCUGCUGAGGGCAAAGCUAAGUAGUUGCAACAGAGGCCUCAUUGCCCACCAAGCUGAAAAUACUUACUAUGACCCUUUACAGAAAGUUUGGUGACCCCUGCUUUAGGACUGAAUAAAGGCUAAAUACAACAGUAUUUUAAAAAAUGGGGAAACAGUGACACACACAACAGGCUGAAAUCUAGAAGAUUCCACCCAUGCAAAGAACAGUGUUUUACGGUUCAUUCAACUGUGGAGCACAAUUCAAAUUUAUCCCAUACGUUCUCUGACUGGAAACUAUUGUGUUGAGUCAACUGGUGAGUGUCUUUGCCUAAAGCCACAAUGUCAAGAUAUUACCUGUAAGCAUAUUUAUGUAGUGUGUUGGAGAAGAAGUUGUUAUUCAGCAACAGGUAGUCAGAGUUGUUCUGCAUCUUCAUCAGCACUUGGUAUUGUCAGCAUUUCUAAUUUUAGCCAUUCUAAUUGAUGUGUCGUGAAAUCUCAUUGUGAUUUUUUUUUUUUGAAGAUUUUAUUUUUUCCUUUUUUCUCCCCAAAGCCCCCCAGUACAUAGUUGUAUAUUCUUCGUUGUGGGUCCUUCUAGUUGUGGCAUGUGGGACGCUGCCUCAGCGUGGUUUGAUGAGCGGUGCCAUGUCCGUGCCCAGGAUUCGAACCAACGAAACACUGGGCCGCCUGCAGCAGAGCGCGAACUUCACCACUCAGCCACGGGGCCAGCCCCAGUCUCAUUGUGAUUUUAAUUUACGUUUCCCUAAUGGUGGAGGACGGUGAACAUCUGUUCGUGUACUCAUUUGCCAUCUCUGUGUCUUUGGUGAAGUGUCUGUUCAAGUCUUUUGUUUAUUUUUAAAUCGGCUUGUUUGUUUUCCUACUGUUUGAUGGAUACAAAUCCCUUGUCAGACAUGUACUUUGCAAUAUUUUCUCCUGGUUUGCAGCUUGCCUCUUCAUUCACUUAACAGUGUUUUUCUUAGAGCAAAAAUUUUAAUUUUGGUGAAGUCCAAUUUAUCAAUUCUUUUCUUUUAUGGAUCAUGCUUUUUGGUGUCAUGUCUAAGAAAUCUUUGUCUAGCCUUGGGUCUUGAAGAUGUUUUUCCUGUAUUUUCUUCUAAAUAUUUUACAGUUUUACAAAUUACAGUUAGAUUUAUGAUCUAUUUUGAGUUAAUUUUGUUUAAAGUGUGAGGUUUAUAUUUUUUGUUUACUUGUUUUUGGGGGCAAUAUGGAUGGAUGUCCAGUUGUUCCAGGACCAUUUUCACAGUCAGAAAUUGAAAUUAAGAAACAAUGCAAUUUAUUAUAAUGUCCAAAAUUAUCACAGUCCUAGGAAUAAAUUUGACAAAAGACGUGAAGGCGCUGUACAGCAAAAUCUGUACAACAUUGCUGAGAGAAAUGAAGUUAAUAAGACGCGGAUGGGAUAUGUGCAGUGUUCCUGGAGUGGAAACUUAAUUUUCUUAAGAUGUCUGUUUCCUCCCAAUGGAUCCAUAUGCAAUGCAAUUGCAACCAAUGUCCAAAUAGACUUUUUUGGGUAGAAGUGUGUGAAAAAUCUGGUUUCAAAGUUUAACUGCAAAGGAUCUACAGUAGCUAAAACAACUUUGAAAAAUAAGAAUAAAUUUGGAGCGGCUACUCUACGUAACUCCAAGACUUAUUACAGAGCUACAGCAGUGAGGACAGUCUGGUAUUGGAGUUGAGACAGACAGACAGACCCAUGGAACCAUAUAGAGUCCAGAAACGGAGCUAUGUCUACACGGCCACUUGGUUUUUGACACAGAUGGAAAGGCAAUUCAGUGCAGGAAGGGUAAUUUUUUUGAUAAAUCGUCUUGGAACAAGUGGAUAUAUUAAAAACUCUCUGAUCCUUCCUCACACCAUACAUCAGAUUCAUUCACGGUGGAUCAUAAUCCUAAAAAAAAAAGCUGAAAAUAUAAAACGCUUAGAAGAAAACAGGACAAAAUCUUAGAGUCUCUGUGUUUGGCACAGAUUUCUCACACACGACACAAAAAGUAGGAAUUAUAAAAGAAAAAGUCAAUCAAAAUUUAAAAUGUUUUGCUCUUUAAAGUCACUGUUACUCAGCAUCUUCCGCCUUUUCUCCCGGCCGAGAGUGGGGUGGUACAGAUAACCUAUCCUCCCCUAUUCCUGGGAAGAGAACUUGGAAUGACCUGCACCACCUGGUUGGCGUGAAGAUGAAGGAAACAGGCUCGUCUAGGCUCUCUCUCUCUUUGGUGGGACCCAUCCAUGAAUGCCAACCCCACCUCCUUGCCUACCUGACACUCUUCCUCUUUUCAGGCCUCAGCUAGUUACCUGCCCCACAAGGCUUCCCUGUCUCCCUCAGGGAGACUAAGGCAUGGCUUCUUUCAGGUGCCAUCUGGGCUUGUGCUGCAGUGAGCCGGGGGCCAAGGGCAUUGCCUUCAACUUAGUCUGCUGAGCAACAGUGCAUGCUGGGUAAGCUCAGCUUGGGCAAGACCCAUGCCGCCUCUGCUCCAUCUGGGCUUCCAUGAUGCACUUUCCUCCAGAAGGUUUAGGAAAGAAGGGGGAGCAGGUGUGAGAAGGGAAGCCGGCUGUAACCUGUAUUUCAAAAGUUUGUAAAUUCUACCCAGAUCUCAGGUUACUGUCCUGUCUGAGCCACUUGGAGCUCAACUCUGACGUUCCCUUAGACAUCUGUAGCACCGGGCAGCAGCACCUAGAACAUAGAAGCUGAGUUCUCCGAGGCCUGAGGCACCUGCUUUGUAUUCCCUACUGAGGAAUACAAUCUUAGUUGCCUCCAACCAGCAAAGUAGAAAAUAACUUAACGUGGCCAAUCCCAACCAAAUCCCAACUUUCUCAAUCAAGGCAAUCUGCCCUGCAUGCAAAAAGGAGGACGGGAAGUCAUUUUCUUGUAAUGUGGAGUUUUUAAAAUACUCACACCUUCCUUGAUUUUGUGCUUGCCUUGAUUGCAAUUUACUAAGCCUGAAAAAGCAGACAUGAAGGCUGACACUUUCAUUCAGAUUUACUUGCCUAAGUCCGUCAGCCUUUAAUCUCAUUUGCCCACAGACACACACACACCUGCCUACAUUGCUUUGCUCUUUAAAUAUACCCCAUUCCUCUGCUCUUAAGAUACAGGAAAGUUAUUAUAUCAUAAUGAUUUCAGGAUAACAAUUCUAGGAUCACAUGUCAAGGAGGAGAAGGCGAUAGCCCAGGGGUGUGAUGACAGUUCUUUGCAUCUGUGUGCUGUCCCUGCGGCUCUGCCUCUGGCCUGGAGGGACCAGAGGGGCUGGGGAGCCUGUCCCAGAGCAUCAGAGCAGGGGAACUUGAGCAUAUUUGUGUCUGAACUGUGAUUUGAGACUAACAGAGGCAGGGCCCUCUGAGGGCUCCUGUCACGCUUGCCCCUGGAUUCUGCAACAGAACGAGUACGAGCUUAUCUCCUGUGGGGCUCCUGUAACUGCUUGAACUCAGAAACCUCACGGAGGUGCUGGGAGGGGCAGAAAGGACCGGAAGGGUGCCGUCGGCACCAUAGGAAUGGCAGGGAAACACACCAGCUUAGAAGCUCCUGCCCCAGGUCGCUUGUCCUGAUGUUAUUUGCAUGUUUACGAUCCCACUGGACUAAAUUGAGAGCAGGCUGUGUGGCUGAGAGAGAGAGGCUGAGACUGAGAGAUUUGAGAUGAUUGAUGCAGGCAAUUUAUAAGCUCAGGGAGUGAUGGUAGCUUCAUCUGGUCAGCGUCUUAUCACAGAUCCCCUAAGGGCUAGAAAGGACCCGACUUAAUAGCCUCUUGGGCAGCCCUGGCUUGAUCUGGGUGACCACCACAUUCCCUGGAGGGACAACUUGUGUGGCCCCCAAACCUCUCCCUCUUACCCAAUGCCUCUUAUUAUCCUCAGCCACCAUGCCACCCUCUUCCACCCACAGCCCCCUGCCCUCGCUGGGUCCACCUCUACAGCAUCCAUCUCUAGGAGACCCCAGUAGGGAGGAGCCUCACCAUGAAGGAAAUUGCAGUGUUUGUACUGAGAGGAGGCAAGAAAAGAUUGAGAAGAGCGACUCAGGCAGAGAACACCGCACAGCAAAAAAACUCUAUGUCAGGGCCAAGGACGUGGGGUUUGUCAUCCAGCCCCAUCUAACUGCUUCCUGGGGAACAGUUUGGGAGUAUGGAUAAUAACUGUCAAUUACAAAGCACCUACUGUGUGUGUGGCACUGUGCAAGCUGUUUGUUCCUCAAUCACAUCUGCUCUCCGAGUGGAGGGGACGGGUAUUAUUUUCAUCUUCAUUUCAAGCUUAUGGAAAGUGAGACUCAAAAAGUUAAAGUCAACUGCCCAAGGUCAUGAAGAGCGUAUAAUCAGGUAGGAAUCUCUGACUCCAAAGGUCUUGCUCUAAGUCACUCUGCUGCAAUGCCUGUCCAGACAUGAGGAAUGUCAGAGGAUUCCGUCCAUUGCCUCUUGUUGGCUGAAGGUACCCAGACUUUUCUGACAUCACCGGGGACCACCCACUCCUUGCUUUGGCCAUGUUGGGCCCUCGCCCCAGGCUGCUGUGGCUCACCCAGAGUUUCCGACUCCCCCUGGCUGCAGGGCACGGCGUCUGGUAUCACCGAUGGAGCUGGAUGGAUGACAAAUCCUAGAAGUGCGGGAAGACUUCCUGGGAUGAAUUUUGACUAAUGGGAACCUGGAGGUAGGAGGGAGCUGGGCAGAUGAAUUCUGCCACCUUCCUCUCUCCCGCUGGGGACUCUGAGGCAUAGUUUCUCCUCACGACCCAUCUGGAGAAGUUCCACUUGCCGAGCAAACUGCUAAGUCUCUUCGUGGUUCCUUGUGGAUUUGGGGCCAGUGCAGUACCUACCACUGCACAUUUGCCUCUUAUCUUUGGCUCACUCCCAUAUUUCAUGGUUCCUGGUAGGCCAGGGGAGAUCUAGUGGGGAGGUUGGGGCAAGCAGGUGUAUAUGGCAUGGAUGCUCUAGGAUUUGGUAGAGAAAGAGAGUGACAAAAGAAGUUGCAGAGUCUAUCAGGGCCAAAUACAGAUUUAUAUUAUUUUAACUUUUUUUCUAAGUGACUUCAUGCCACCAGAGGACAUCUGGGGGCUCCUGUGACUUUGGUGGUUGGGAUCUCCAUUGGUCAGGGGAAGAAGCUAAUGGUCAGAUUCUCACACCUGAGCACCAGUUGCAUGUUGAUGAUGUGUGGUGAAGAUGACGUGUUCAUCUUUGGUUCUCUGGACCAGUCCCCUCUGGGGUUGUCCUGCCCGGCCCUGAGCCCUGAGUCAAGAUGUUGCUGUGAGAAAGGAGAGGAGAGGGGUAGGGAGAGAUGGCUUACCACCAUGUCGGCUAGCUCUACAUUCUGCUCAGCCGGAGGGCAUCCACCUCGUCUUUGAACAUCUUCAGGGGCCGCAAAAUUAUUGAGGACUCAAAAGAGUCAGCAAAUGAGCUCUCAAAGAAAGCUUUUAUAUACUCACCCAACUCUGCACACAGAGGCUGGAGGAAAAGAGUUAGGCCCAUUCAUCAUGAUGGCAACAGGGCCAUCACACCUUGUUAAGGGAACAGCGCACACAUGGCAUGACCCCACCUGUGCAGCAAGAUGCCAGUGUACGGAUGCCGUGUGUGGAUGGAUGGGAAAAAACUCAAUGUUAUGAGUCUGGCAAGUCAACUCUGACUAUGUCUGGGCGACUUCCAUUGUCUUCCAUGGGCUUUUCCUUAUUUUUCAAAAUUUCUAAAGAAUGGUAUCUCCGUGACACAGUGCCUUGCCUAACCCCUUUAAUUUGUCCCUAAAAACCCUGCCCAUUAAGUGAAAUGUUACAUGAAAAACCAUCUCCAUUACUUUUAAUGGGAAAACUUAUGAUGCAUUUCAUUACAAUUCAACAUUCCUGAAUUAUUUUCACAGAUAGAAAAAUAGUGAAUGGAACAAUGAAAAGAAGUUUAUAUAUGUAAUACAUGACAGUUUGAAAGCGAAAAUACAGUUUAUACAUAAAGGUAUUAUAAUAAAGGCAUGUUGUACUCAUUUUUGUUGUUAUUUCCACAAAAUUUGCUUCACCAACUUCACAGUCCUUUUGAGGCUGUCAACAAAAAUCUCUGGAAUACAAGAACUUAGGAAUUUGGGAAAGCUUUAGUGCUCAUACAGUUUGCAAA
ensembl:lncRNA